rnacentral:rRNA from 1 species
AUGAAGGAUGGUGAAGGUGUCGCUGAAAUGUACUCUAGGCUUGCUCUUAUCACAAAUGAGAUUGCCGGCUUAGGGAGUGAAGAGAUGACCGACAGAUUCAUCAUCAAGAAGAUCCUAAGAGCACUGGAUGGAAAGUAUGAUACCGUGUGCACAUUGAUUCAAAUGAUGCCAAACUACAAAGAUCUCAAGCCAACAGAAGUCAUUGGAAGAAUUGUUGCUCAUGAGAUGUCACUCAAGGAUAAGGAGGAACUUCACAACAAGUCAAGUGGUGCUUACAAAGCCUCAUGUGAAGCCCCCACAUCAUCAAGUGAGAAACAAACCUUCAAUGAAGAAUUGAGCUUAAUGGUGAAGCAAAGAAAGAAGCUCUAA